rnacentral:lncRNA from 10 species
AUUUUUUGGUAGAGACGGGGUUUCACCGUGUUAGCCAGGAUGGUCUCGAUCUCCUGACCUCGUGAUCCGCCCACCUCGGCCUCCCAAAGCGCUGGGAUUAAAGGCGUGAGCCACCGCGCCCGGCCUACUUUGUCUUAUGUUAUUCCCAUUUGCCGUCUCUGUUCCUUAUACAUUAUGCUUUUUCAACUUUACCAGAAUCACUUGGAUUAAAACCCGUGGAUUUCUCAGUAGGAAAUGUUCAUGUGAAGACACUUCUGUAGUAACAGAA